UCCAGGGGGCCGCCUUCGCCACCGGUAUUCCUCCAGAUCUCUACGCAUUUCACCGCUACACCUGGAAUUCUACCCCCCUCUACAAGACUCUAGCCUGCCAGUUUCGAAUGCAGUUCCCAGGUUGAGCCCGGGGAUUUCACAUCCGACUUGACAGACCGCCUGCGUGCGCUUUACGCCCAGUAAUUCCGAUUAACGCUUGCACCCUCCGUAUUACCGCGGCUGCUGGCACGGAGUUAGCCGGUGCUUCUUCUGCGAGUAACGUCAAUCACCAAGGUUAUUAACCUUAAUGCCUUCCUCCUCGCUGAAAGUACUUUACAACCCGAAGGCCUUCUUCAUACACGCGGCAUGGCUGCAUCAGGCUUGCGCCCAUUGUGCAAUAUUCCCCACUGCUGCCUCCCGUAGGAGUCUGGACCGUGUCUCAGUUCCAGUGUGGCUGGUCAUCCUCUCAGACCAGCUAGGGAUCGUCGCCUAGGUGAGCCAUUACCCCACCUACUAGCUAAUCCCAUCUGGGCACAUCCGAUGGCAAGAGGCCCGAAGGUCCCCCUCUUUGGUCCGAAGACGUUAUGCGGUAUUAGCUACCGUUUCCAGUAGUUAUCCCCCUCCAUCGGGCAGUUUCCCAGACAUUACUCACCCGUCCGCCACUCGUCAGCGAAGCAGCAAGCUGCUUCCUGUUACCGUUCGACUUGCAUGUGUUAGGCCUGCCGCCAGC
rnacentral:rRNA from 1 species